GAGCAUUUUAAGGAUUUGUGGGAGGACAAUGAAACAUGUCCUUAGAUAUCCAAGAUCUCCAUCCAUUCCCAAAGGAAUCAUGUAAGAAAGGCAAUAGCUGUGCAGUGAACAAAGGAGGCAAGCAAAAGAAAGUAUCUUCUAAUGAUACUUAGAGGAUAAAAGAUGCUGAAAGCCAACCUGUGGAACAAACCAAGAACUACAAUGUGCCAAUCAGUGACUCACAUGAGGCUCCAGGGGAAAGGAGACACAUAAUCCGGUUUUCCCCACCUGACUGGUGUGCAACAGCAGACUGAUAAGGGAGAAAGUACAAAGAACGUGGACUCUGCCCAAACAGUAAAACUUUUGUUUCCCUUUGGCCUGCACACUAGAAAGUCACCUUCCUUAAAAAUCUGGAGCUAAAAUCAAAACCCAUUUUUCUCCCCCGCCACUUCUUGCAAGUGUCCCUAAUCCUAUAAAUGCCUUCAAUAUA